GACGAACCGUCCUAACGUUGUUCGGAAUCACUGGGCUUAAAGGGCGCGUAGGCGGGCAUGCAAGUCCGGGGUGAAAGCUUUCGGCUUAACCGGAAAAGGGCCUUGGAUACUGCAUGUCUUGAGGGAGGUAGGGGUCUGUGGAACUUCGGGUGGAGCGGUGAAAUGCGUUGAUAUCCGAAGGAACGCCGGUGGCGAAAGCGACGGACUGGACCUCUUCUGACGCUGAGGCGCGAAAGCCAGGGGAGCAAACGGG
rnacentral:rRNA from 1 species